AACAUUUUAGCGUAUUUGGAAAGGGAAACGAAAAGAACAGAGAAACCAAAAAUCCUUCUCAUUUCUUCCCCUGCGCCCGAAUCGCGCCCCUGUUCUUCCCGAUUCUGAAGCAUCAACAUCGUCCUCCGCCAUGAUCCGGUUCAUCCUGCUGCAAAACCGGCAGGGGAAGACGCGGCUGGCCAAGUACUACGUCCCGCUCGAGGACUCGGAGAAGCACAAGGUCGAGUACGAGGUGCAUCGGCUUGUGGUCAAC